rnacentral:ncRNA from 1 species
GUUAGAGUCGCUUUUGACAGCAUUUCAUUACAUUUUUGUAUAUGAAUAGGAAUAUGGUGAGAAUUAUUCAAUUCAAUUCCAUAACUGCCCCCGCAACUGUAGGCGGAUGCAGAAUAUCCUUGUGUGGUUAAUAAGCCACAGGUCACUGUAAAGCUCGUCUUUAUGGGAAGGCCGAUAUUCUGAUUACCGUGAGUCAGGAGACCUGCUGUCAACGAUGUAUACCAU